AGCCGCGGUAAUACGGAGGGCGCAAGCGUUGUUCGGAAUUACCGGGCGUAAAGGGCGCGUAGGCGGCACGGCAAGUCGGGAGUGAAAGCCCGGGGCUCAACCCCGGAGGGUCUUCCGAAACUGCCGGGCUAGAGUGCGGAAGAGGCAACCGGAAUUCCCAGUGUAGCGGUGAAAUGCGUAGAUAUUGGGAAGAACACCGGAGGCGAAGGCGGGUUGCUGGGCCGACACUGACGCUGAGGCGCGAAAGCCAGGGGAGCAAAC
rnacentral:rRNA from 1 species